AGACUGUCAGCUUCCACUCCUGAUCCCACACCAGGCGGUCGGAGCAGAUUCAUUAAUCAUGGAAAUAUCAGGGUUAUUUUAUAAGAACAGGUAUUCAUGUGGAAAUAAGCUGCAGUUUUCUGAUCGCAAGUGGUUGAAAACAAUAUCUUUAAAGACGGUUUCAGACGUGAACUUGAGAAAAUGAUUUCAGUUUCAUCGCAGCGGGAGAUUGUUCGCGUCAAACGUGUUCUCAGCAACAGGAACAUCACCGGAGCUUUAGGAUUCUCUACCAGGGAAAAUUCCCCUUUCCUCCCAUUGGCCGCCUUAUGACUCAAAAAGACUUUUAUUGCACGUUGGUCGUUGCAGGAAGACUUAUCCAAACAGCAUGAGGGUAAGUCUUCUUAUUCUUCUGCUCUCUUUAGACUCACACGUGUACAUUUAAAAACACCACAAAGAACCUGUAACUGAAACCAUUUGAAAAACAAGCCCCAAAAAAACUCAGGUGCAGGAGCCCUUGACAUAUAGCUUUCAGAAAGGAUAUGGUCGAUAAAUGCGACAUUAUAAUGUCGAGCAAAUGGAAUAAGAAAUUCCCUAGACAUGACAUGAAAAUUCAGCUUGUGGCAGCCGGCGUGGGGCGCGCCACGUCAGCAGCCAGACAGGCCGACUGGAGCUGACAGGUAAAAAGGGGAGAUGAUGGU